CCAAAUUCCAAAACUCUAUACCAAGUUACUCUCUCUCACACACACACACACACACACACACACACGGAGCAAAUCAUGGCAGUUGGAAGAAAGGAAGAAAAUAUGGGAGUGGAGAUAGUGAAACCGCGAACUGACAAAAGGGAUUACAGAAGAAUUGUUCUUCAAAAUAAUCUUGAAAUCCUUCUCAUAAGUGACCCAGAAACUGAUAAAUGUGCAGCUUCAAUGAAUGUGUGUGUUGGUGCUUUUAGCGAUCCCGAGGGACUUGAAGGGCUUGCCCAUUUUCUCGAGCAUAUGUUGUUUUAUGCAAGUGAGAAGUAUCCUGUAGAGGACAGUUAUUCGAAGUACAUCACAGAGAAUGGAGGUAGUACAAAUGCUUUUACAUCUUCUGAGGACACCAACUACUAUUUUGAAGUAAAUGCUGAUGGUUUUGAAGAAGCAUUGGACAGAUUUGCCCAGUUCUUUAUCAAACCAUUGAUGUCAUCCGAUGCUACCACUCGAGAAAUUAAAGCUGUUGAUUCUGAACACCAGAAGAAUCUACUCUCUGAUGCUUGGAGAAUGAACCAGCUUCAAAAACAUCUAAGUGCAAAAAAUUAUCCAUACCAUAAGUUCAGCACAGGCAGCUGGGAUACAUUAGAAGUGAGGCCAAAAGAAAGAGGCAUAGAUACAAGACAGGAGCUUCUUAAAUUUUAUUCAGAAAAUUAUUCAGCCAACCUCAUGCACUUGGUCGUCUAUUCAAAAGAUAGUCUUGAUAAAGCUGAGCAGCUAGUACGGAGCAAAUUUCAGGAUAUCCCAAACAUUGAUCGCAAUCAAAUUCGUUUUACUGGUCAGCCUUGCACCACAGAACAUCUCCAGAUUCUUGUGCGAGCUGUUCCAAUAAAACAAGGUCACAAGUUGAAAAUUGUAUGGCCAGUUACCCCAGGGAUACGUCACUACAAGGAAGGGCCUAGUAGGUACUUGGGUCACUUGAUUGGCCAUGAAGGAGAAGGAUCGUUGUUUUAUAUCUUGAAAAAGUUAGGUUGGGCUACAAGUUUAUCUGCUGGGGAAUCAGACUGGACUGAUGAGUUCUCUUUCUUUAAAGUGGGUAUUGAUUUGACUGAUGCUGGUCAAGAGCAUUUUGAAGACAUUAUGGGUCUGCUAUUCAAAUAUAUUCAUCUCCUACAACAGGCCGGUGGCUGCAAAUGGAUAUUUGAAGAGCUUUCAGCUAUUUGUGAGACUGCCUUCCACUACCAAGACAAGAUUCGGCCGAGUGAUUACGUGGUUAAUGUUUCAAUGAAUAUGCAGCACUAUCCUCCAGAAGAUUGGUUGGUUGGAUCCUCUUUGCCUUCAAAGUUUAAUCCUAGCGUCAUUCAGUCAUUCUUGAAUGAACUCAAUCCAGACAAUGUCAGAAUCUUCUGGGAGUCGACAAAGUUUGAGGGUAAUACUAGCAUGACUGAACCAUGGUAUGGAACUGCGUAUUCUAUAGAGAAAGUUAAUGGUGCCACUAUCCAGCACUGGAUGGAGCAGGCCCCCAGUGAAGAGCUGCAUCUCCCUGCUCCCAAUGUGUUCAUACCAACUGAUUUAUCACUUAAGCCUGUCUUUGAGAAGACAAAAGUGCCAGUACUGCUGCGGAAGUCACCUUAUUCAAGGUUAUGGUAUAAGCCGGAUACAGCAUUUUCAUCUCCAAAAGCCUAUGUUAUGAUCGAUUUUAGUUGCCCGUACUGUGGACAUUCUCCAGAAGCUGAGGUUCUUACUGAGAUCUUUACACGUCUAUUGAUGGAUUACUUGAAUGAAUACGCUUAUCAUGCACAAGUCGCUGGUCUUUAUUAUGGUAUAAACAAAACAAACAAUGGUUUUCAGUUGACAUUAUUUGGAUAUAACGACAAGUUAAGAGUCUUACUGGAAGCAGUUGUUGAGAAAAUCGCAAAAUUUGAAGUAAAACCGGACAGGUUCUCUGUGAUCCAGGAAUUAGUGACAAAGCAAUUUCAGAAUUACAAGUUCCAACAGCCAUAUCAGCAGGCUAUGUAUUACUGCUCAUUACUGCUGCAAGAAAACACAUGGCCUUGGACUGAUGAACUUGAAGUUCUUCCACAUCUUAAAGCGGACGAUCUGGUUAAAUUCUAUCCACUUUUGCUGGGGAGGUCCUUUCUAGAGUGCUAUGUAGCAGGAAACAUUGAACAAGCUGAAGCAGAGUCCAUGACCCAACUUAUUGAGGAUGCGUUCUUCAAGGGUCCGCAGCCAAUAUCCAAGCCUCUAUUUGCAUCUCAGCAUCUGACAAACAGAGUAGUUAAUCUUGAAAGAGGUGUAAAUUACUUCUAUGCUGCAGAGGGCCUAAAUCCAAAUGAUGAAAAUUCUUCUCUCCUUCAUUAUAUUCAGGUGCAUCAGGAUGAUUUUAUGCUGAAUGUCAAACUCCAGCUUUUUGCUCUAAUAGCAAAGCAGCCAGCCUUCCACCAGCUUAGAUCAGUUGAACAACUUGGUUAUAUCACCGUCCUCAUGCAGAGGAGUGACUCUGGUGUUCAUGGGGUGCAGUUUAUCAUUCAGUCAACUGCAAAGGAUCCCAAAUACAUUGACUCAAGAGUGGAGUUAUUUCUGAAGAUGUUUGAGAGCAAACUUUAUGAGAUGACUAGCGAUGAAUUCAAGAGCAACGUGAAUGCACUUAUUGAUAUGAAGCUUGAGAAACACAAGAAUUUACGGGAGGAAUCUCGAUUUUACUGGAGGGAGAUUUCAGAUGCGACCCUCAAAUUUGAUAGAAGAGAACGUGAGAUUGAAGCACUGAAGCAAUUGACGCAGAAGGAGCUGACUGAUUUCUUCGACGAAUAUAUAAAGGCUGGUGUACCUCAGAAGAAGGCUUUAAGUGUCAGAGUCUAUGGAAGCUCACAUUCUUCUCAGUUCCAAGAACAUAAGAAUGAGCAGAUCGAACCAAAUGCAGUUCAAAUAGAAGACAUAUUUAGCUUUAGACGAUCUCGGCCUCUUUAUGGUUCAUUUAAAGGAGGCUUUGGUCAUGUGAGAUUGUAAGAGGGUAAACGUAGCAGCUUUGGAUGCUAUAUAUGGUCAAGAGAAGCCUCUUGAAUGGAGUUGAUAUGUUGCGUUAGCGAGUCCAUCAAAGAGUAGUUGAUCUGCAAAAUAGUUCUCAUAUUUAGUUGUGUCAAUUGCUCAACUGAUUUGAUGAUGGAUUGCUUAGAGAUUUGGACAAGUAAAUGUACUCAUUGUAACAUCAAUUCUAUUUUGAUUGCUGAAUAAGAUGUAUUAGAAGACAAUAAGAGGCAUGUAUGAAACCUGAAACGGUAAAUAUUCAUUCAUGUUUUUUAUAGGAAGAUUAAACUACAUUAUAUUUUA